rnacentral:rRNA from 1 species
AACGAACGCUGGCGGCAGGCUUAACACAUGCAAGUCGAACGCAUCCUUCGGGGUGAGUGGCAGACGGGUGAGUAACGCGUGGGAACGUGCCCUUCAGUUCGGGAUAACCCAGGGAAACCUGGGCUAAUACCGGAUACGUGCGAGAGCAGAAAGAUUUAUCGCUGAAGGAUCGGCCCGCGUCUGAUUAGCUAGUUGGUGGGGUAAUGGCCCACCAAGGCGACGAUCAGUAGCUGGUCUGAGAGGAUGAUCAGCCACAUUGGGACUGAGACACGGCCCAAACUCCUACGGGAGGCAGCAGUGGGGGAUAUUGGACAAUGGGCGCAAGCCUGAUCCAGCCAUGCCGCGUGAGUGAUGAAGGCCUUAGGGUUGUAAAGCUCUUUCGUCCGGGACGAUAAUGACGGUACCGGAAGAAGAAGCCCCGGCUAACUUCGUGCCAGCAGCCGCCGUAA